rnacentral:rRNA from 1 species
AUUCCGGUUGAUCCUGCCGGAGGCCAUUGCUAUCGGGGUCCGAUUUAGCCAUGCUAGUUGUACGAGUUCACACUCGUAGCAAAUAGCUCCGUAACACGUGGCCAAACUACCCUACAGAGAACGAUAACCUCGGGAAACUGAGGCUAAUAGUUC